rnacentral:rRNA from 1 species
GAGUUUGAUUAUGGCUCAGAUUGAACGCUGGCGGCAUGCUUUACACAUGCAAGUCGAACGGCAGCACGGAAGAGCUUGCUCUUUUGGUGGCGAGUGGCGAACGGGUGAGUAACGCAUCGGAACGUACCGAGUAGUGGGGGAUAACUGUCCGAAAGGAUGGCUAAUACCGCAUAUUCUCUGAGGAGGAAAGCAGGGGACCUUCGGGCCUUGCGCUAUUUGAGCGGCCGAUGUCUGAUUAGCUAGUUGGUGGGGUAAAGGCCUACCAAGGCGACGAUCAGUAGCGGGUCUGAGAGGAUGAUCCGCCACACUGGGACUGAGACACGGCCCAGACUCCUACGGGAGGCAGCAGUGGGGAAUUUUGGACAAUGGGGGGAACCCUGAUCCAGCCAUGCCGCGUGUCUGAAGAAGGCCUUCGGGUUGUAAAGGACUUUUGUCAGGGAAGAAAAGCUUGAGGUUAAUACCCCCUUGAGUGAUGACCGUACCU